GGGUUGUGAGGUUAAGCGACUAAGCGUACACGGUGGAUGCCCUGGCAGUCAGAGGCGAUGAAGGACGUGCUAAUCUGCGAUAAGCGUCGGUGAGGUGAUAUGAACCGUUAUAACCGGCGAUUUCCGAAUGGGGAAACCCAGUGUGUUUCGACACACUAUCAUUAACUGAAUCCAUAGGUUAAUGAGGCGAACCGGGGGAACUGAAACAUCUAAGUACCCCGAGGAAAAGAAAUCAACCGAGAUUCCCCCAGUAGCGGCGAGCGAACGGGGAGGAGCCCAGAGCCUGAAUCAGUGUGUGUGUUAGUGGAAGCGUCUGGAAAGGCGUGCGAUACAGGGUGACAGCCCCGUACACAAAAAUGCACAUAUUGUGAGCUCGAUGAGUAGGGCGGGACACGUGGUAUCCUGUCUGAAUAUGGGGGGACCAUCCUCCAAGGCUAAAUACUCCUGACUGACCGAUAGUGAACCAGUACCGUGAGGGAAAGGCGAAAAGAACCCCGGCGAGGGGAGUGAAAAAGAACCUGAAACCGUGUACGUACAAGCAGUGGGAGCCUCUUAAUGGGGUGACUGCGUACCUUUUGUAUAAUGGGUCAGCGACUUAUAUUCUGUAGCAAGGUUAACCGAAUAGGGGAGCCGAAGGGAAACCGAGUCUUAACUGGGCGUUAAGUUGCAGGGUAUAGACCCGAAACCCGGUGAUCUAGCCAUGGGCAGGUUGAAGGUUGGGUAACACUAACUGGAGGACCGAACCGACUAAUGUUGAAAAAUUAGCGGAUGACUUGUGGCUGGGGGUGAAAGGCCAAUCAAACCGGGAGAUAGCUGGUUCUCCCCGAAAGCUAUUUAGGUAGCGCCUCGUGAAUUCAUCUCCGGGGGUAGAGCACUGUUUCGGCAAGGGGGUCAUCCCGACUUACCAACCCGAUGCAAACUGCGAAUACCGGAGAAUGUUAUCACGGGAGACACACGGCGGGUGCUAACGUCCGUCGUGAAGAGGGAAACAACCCAGACCGCCAGCUAAGGUCCCAAAGUCAUGGUUAAGUGGGAAACGAUGUGGGAAGGCCCAGACAGCCAGGAUGUUGGCUUAGAAGCAGCCAUCAUUUAAAGAAAGCGUAAUAGCUCACUGGUCGAGUCGGCCUGCGCGGAAGAUGUAACGGGGCUAAACCAUGCACCGAAGCUGCGGCAGCGACACUAUGUGUUGUUGGGUAGGGGAGCGUUCUGUAAGCCUGUGAAGGUGGCCUGUGAGGGUUGCUGGAGGUAUCAGAAGUGCGAAUGCUGACAUAAGUAACGAUAAAGCGGGUGAAAAGCCCGCUCGCCGGAAGACCAAGGGUUCCUGUCCAACGUUAAUCGGGGCAGGGUGAGUCGACCCCUAAGGCGAGGCCGAAAGGCGUAGUCGAUGGGAAACAGGUUAAUAUUCCUGUACUUGGUGUUACUGCGAAGGGGGGACGGAGAAGGCUAUGUUGGCCGGGCGACGGUUGUCCCGGUUUAAGCGUGUAGGCUGGUUUUCCAGGCAAAUCCGGAAAACCAAGGCUGAGGCGUGAUGACGAAGCACUACGGUGCUGAAGCGACAAAUGCCCUGCUUCCAGGAAAAGCCUCUAAGCAUCAGGUAACAUCAAAUCGUACCCCAAACCGACACAGGUGGUCAGGUAGAGAAUACCAAGGCGCUUGAGAGAACUCGGGUGAAGGAACUAGGCAAAAUGGUGCCGUAACUUCGGGAGAAGGCACGCUGAUAUGUAGGUGAAGCGACUUGCUCGUGGAGCUGAAAUCAGUCGAAGAUACCAGCUGGCUGCAACUGUUUAUUAAAAACACAGCACUGUGCAAACACGAAAGUGGACGUAUACGGUGUGACGCCUGCCCGGUGCCGGAAGGUUAAUUGAUGGGGUUAGCGGUAACGCGAAGCUCUUGAUCGAAGCCCCGGUAAACGGCGGCCGUAACUAUAACGGUCCUAAGGUAGCGAAAUUCCUUGUCGGGUAAGUUCCGACCUGCACGAAUGGCGUAAUGAUGGCCAGGCUGUCUCCACCCGAGACUCAGUGAAAUUGAACUCGCUGUGAAGAUGCAGUGUACCCGCGGCAAGACGGAAAGACCCCGUGAACCUUUACUAUAGCUUGACACUGAACAUUGAGCCUUGAUGUGUAGGAUAGGUGGGAGGCUUUGAAGUGUGGACGCCAGUCUGCAUGGAGCCGACCUUGAAAUACCACCCUUUAAUGUUUGAUGUUCUAACGUU
rnacentral:rRNA from 1 species